GGUUAAGCGACUAAGCGUACACGGUGGAUGCCCUGGCAGUCAGAGGCGAUGAAGGACGUGCUAAUCUGCGAUAAGCGUCGGUAAGGUGAUAUGAACCGUUAUAACCGGCGAUUUCCGAAUGGGGAAACCCAGUGUGAUUCGUCACACUAUCAUUAACUGAAUCCAUAGGUUAAUGAGGCGAACCGGGGGAACUGAAACAUCUAAGUACCCCGAGGAAAAGAAAUCAACCGAGAUUCCCCCAGUAGCGGCGAGCGAACGGGGAGGAGCCCAGAGCCUGAAUCAGUGUGUGUGUUAGUGGAAGCGUCUGGAAAGGCGCGCGAUACAGGGUGACAGCCCCGUACACAAAAAUGCACAUACUGUGAGCUCGAUGAGUAGGGCGGGACACGUGGUAUCCUGUCUGAAUAUGGGGGGACCAUCCUCCAAGGCUAAAUACUCCUGACUGACCGAUAGUGAACCAGUACCGUGAGGGAAAGGCGAAAAGAACCCCGGCGAGGGGAGUGAAAAAGAACCUGAAACCGUGUACGUACAAGCAGUGGGAGCACGCUUCGGCGUGUGACUGCGUACCUUUUGUAUAAUGGGUCAGCGACUUAUAUUCUGUAGCAAGGUUAACCGAAUAGGGGAGCCGAAGGGAAACCGAGUCUUAACUGGGCGUUAAGUUGCAGGGUAUAGACCCGAAACCCGGUGAUCUAGCCAUGGGCAGGUUGAAGGUUGGGUAACACUAACUGGAGGACCGAACCGACUAAUGUUGAAAAAUUAGCGGAUGACUUGUGGCUGGGGGUGAAAGGCCAAUCAAACCGGGAGAUAGCUGGUUCUCCCCGAAAGCUAUUUAGGUAGCGCCUCGUGAAUUCAUCUCCGGGGGUAGAGCACUGUUUCGGCAAGGGGGUCAUCCCGACUUACCAACCCGAUGCAAACUGCGAAUACCGGAGAAUGUUAUCACGGGAGACACACGGCGGGUGCUAACGUCCGUCGUGAAGAGGGAAACAACCCAGACCGCCAGCUAAGGUCCCAAAGUCAUGGUUAAGUGGGAAACGAUGUGGGAAGGCCCAGACAGCCAGGAUGUUGGCUUAGAAGCAGCCAUCAUUUAAAGAAAGCGUAAUAGCUCACUGGUCGAGUCGGCCUGCGCGGAAGAUGUAACGGGGCUAAACCAUGCACCGAAGCUGCGGCAGCGACACUAUGUGUUGUUGGGUAGGGGAGCGUUCUGUAAGCCUGUGAAGGUGUGCUGUGAGGCAUGCUGGAGGUAUCAGAAGUGCGAAUGCUGACAUAAGUAACGAUAAAGCGGGUGAAAAGCCCGCUCGCCGGAAGACCAAGGGUUCCUGUCCAACGUUAAUCGGGGCAGGGUGAGUCGACCCCUAAGGCGAGGCCGAAAGGCGUAGUCGAUGGGAAACAGGUUAAUAUUCCUGUACUUGGUGUUACUGCGAAGGGGGGACGGAGAAGGCUAUGUUGGCCGGGCGACGGUUGUCCCGGUUUAAGCGUGUAGGCUGGUUUUCCAGGCAAAUCCGGAAAACUAAGGCUGAGGCGUGAUGACGAGGCACUACGGUGCUGAAGCAACAAAUGCCCUGCUUCCAGGAAAAGCCUCUAAGCAUCAGGUAACAUCAAAUCGUACCCCAAACCGACACAGGUGGUCAGGUAGAGAAUACCAAGGCGCUUGAGAGAACUCGGGUGAAGGAACUAGGCAAAAUGGUGCCGUAACUUCGGGAGAAGGCACGCUGAUAUGUAGGUGAAGCGACUUGCUCGUGGAGCUGAAAUCAGUCGAAGAUACCAGCUGGCUGCAACUGUUUAUUAAAAACACAGCACUGUGCAAACACGAAAGUGGACGUAUACGGUGUGACGCCUGCCCGGUGCCGGAAGGUUAAUUGAUGGGGUUAGCGGUAACGCGAAGCUCUUGAUCGAAGCCCCGGUAAACGGCGGCCGUAACUAUAACGGUCCUAAGGUAGCGAAAUUCCUUGUCGGGUAAGUUCCGACCUGCACGAAUGGCGUAAUGAUGGCCAGGCUGUCUCCACCCGAGACUCAGUGAAAUUGAACUCGCUGUGAAGAUGCAGUGUACCCGCGGCAAGACGGAAAGACCCCGUGAACCUUUACUAUAGCUUGACACUGAACAUUGAGCCUUGAUGUGUAGGAUAGGUGGGAGGCUUUGAAGUGUGGACGCCAGUCUGCAUGGAGCCGACCUUGAAAUACCACCCUUUAAUGUUUGAUGUUCUAACGUUGACCCGUGAUCCGGGUUGCGGACAGUGUCUGGUGGGUAGUUUGACUGGGGCGGUCUCCUCCUAAAGAGUAACGGAGGAGCACGAAGGUUGGCUAAUCCUGGUCGGACAUCAGGAGGUUAGUGCAAUGGCAUAAGCCAGCUUGACUGCGAGCGUGACGGCGCGAGCAGGUGCGAAAGCAGGUCAUAGUGAUCCGGUGGUUCUGAAUGGAAGGGCCAUCGCUCAACGGAUAAAAGGUACUCCGGGGAUAACAGGCUGAUACCGCCCAAGAGUUCAUAUCGACGGCGGUGUUUGGCACCUCGAUGUCGGCUCAUCACAUCCUGGGGCUGAAGUAGGUCCCAAGGGUAUGGCUGUUCGCCAUUUAAAGUGGUACGCGAGCUGGGUUUAGAACGUCGUGAGACAGUUCGGUCCCUAUCUGCCGUGGGCGCUGGAGAACUGAGGGGGGCUGCUCCUAGUACGAGAGGACCGGAGUGGACGCAUCACUGGUGUUCGGGUUGUCAUGCCAAUGGCACUGCCCGGUAGCUAAAUGCGGAAGAGAUAAGUGCUGAAAGCAUCUAAGCACGAAACUUGCCCCGAGAUGAGUUCUCCCUGACUCCCUGAGAGUCCUGAAGGAACGUUGAAGACGACGACGUUGAUAGGCCGGGUGUGUAAGCGCAGCGAUGCGUUGAGCUAACCGGUACUAAUGAACCGUGAGGCUUAACCUU
rnacentral:rRNA from 1 species